AAGCUCCCUAGACAUGCACACUGGUAUGCGUUGUAGAAUAAUGCUGCAACGCUGCUUUUAUUAAAAUUUGUACUCCCACUAUCCGGAAGAAUGAGUACCAUUUUCAAUGAAAAUUACAUAGAAAACAAACAUAUUUUUGGGACAGAGGGAAUAUAAAUCUAAUUCUUAUAUUGUAUGCUCAAUGUUGAUCUUCGUACUUUUUCUUAAUAUUGUUGCCAGGACAUGGACGGUUAGAUGUAAUCCUGAGUAUGAAGGGCUAAUUGCGGUCUCUCUCUCUCUCUCAGUAAUCUGUUUCUUUAACUACAUAACUGUAGACACUACAUAAAAUUUUGGAAGUAUGGUCUUUAAUUUAUCUUGGCUUACAUGAUCUAUAGAUCUGAGUCACGGUUCCUUGCUCC
rnacentral:lncRNA from 1 species